AUUGAACGCUGGCGGCAGGCUUAACACAUGCAAGUCGAACGAGUGGCGGACGGGUGAGUAAUGCUUGGGAAUCUGGCUGAUGGAGGGGGAUAACUACGGGAAACGGUAGCUAAUACCGCAUACCAUCAGAUGUGCCCCGGUGGGAUUAGCUCGUUGGUGGGGUAACGGCUCACCAAGCCGACGAUCCCUAGCUGGUCUGAGAGGAUGACCAGGCACACGGGAACUGAGACACGGCCCAGACUCCUACGGGAGGCAGCAGUGGGGAAUAUUGCGCAAUGGGGGCAAGCCUGAUGCAGCCAUGCCGCGUGAAUGAAGAAGGCCUUCGGGUUGUAAAGUUCUUUCGGUAGGGAGGCGUUACCCACAGAAGAAGCACCGGCUAACUCCGUGCCAGCAGCCGCGGUAAUAC
rnacentral:rRNA from 1 species